rfam:Oryza barthii chromosome 1, whole genome shotgun sequence.
AAAAAAACAAACCCUAGGUUUCCGUAUCCAACGUUUGACUGUUUGUCUUAUAUGAAUUUUUUUUAUAAUUAGUAUUUUCAUUGUUGUUAGAUGAUAAAACAUGAUUAAUACUUUAUGCGUGACUUGUCUUUUUAAUUUUUUUCAUAUUUUUUUAAAAUAAAAUGGACGGUCAAACGUUGGACAUAUCUUGUUUUGGGACGGACGGAGU